GACGAACGCUGGCGGCGUGCUUAACACAUGCGAGUCGAACGAAGAGCGAUGGAAGCUUGCUUCUAUCAAUCUUAGUGGCGAACGGGUGAGUAACGCGUAAUCAACCUGCCCUUCAGAGGGGGACAACAGUUGGAAACGACUGCUAAUACCGCAUACGAUCUAAUCUCGGCAUCGAGGAUAGAUGAAAGGUGGCCUCUACAUGUAAGCUAUCACUGAAGGAGGGGAUUGCGUCUGAUUAGCUAGUUGGAGGGGUAACGGCCCACCAAGGCGAUGGUCAGUAGCCGGUCUGAGAGGAUGAACGGCCACAUUGGGACUGAGACACGGCCCAGACUCCUACGGGAGGCAGCAGGGGGGAAUCUUCCGCAAUGGACGAAAGUCUGACGGAGCAACGCCGCGUGGGUGAUGACGGCCGUCGGGUUGUAAAGCUCUGUUAAUCGGGACGAAAGGCCUUCUUGCGAAUAGUGAGAAGGAUUGACGGUACCGGAAGAGAAAGCCACGGCUAACUACGUG
rnacentral:rRNA from 1 species